rnacentral:lncRNA from 1 species
UAGGCUCGUAAUCCCAAAUCCAUCAUUCCUGUCCUAAUCUAAUUGGCUUUUGGCACACCUGCACCUGUCCUAAUCUAACUAUCGGACUUUUGGUCCAUAACCUAUCCUAAACUAUUUUUCUGGACCUUUUGGCUAAUAAUCGAUUUCACUUGUAUUAAUUUACAACUUUGGCUUUGAGGCCCCAAAUGAAUGAACGAAUAAAUAAAAAUAUAAAUUUACAUAGAUAAAAAUAGAGACUUGUUAAGUCUCUUAACAUCUUUAUCAAUGGGUUUUAACCCAUUUUUCUUCUUCCAUCUUCUUGUACCGGUAUGACAAAGGAUCGACAUUUGGACUUUCUCUAGGAUUUGACUCGAUGAGGAAAAUGCAAUCAAGAGUUCAUGGCGAACUUAAACACAAUCUAUUCACAUGCAUCAAAAUAAAGAGGAAGAGGAUUAGUAUUCAUAUUAUCUAGUUUUGUCUUACUGUAACUAAUCACACAUCAUAAUUAAACUGCAAAUGAUAAUCUCUCAUAAAACACUCAAGACAGUUCAAAAAAGACUUAGAAUAUUAACAUUCAUUAUAUUUUUUAGGAUAACACUUGGGAAAAAAGAUUUUGGGACUCAAAAUUUGAGUACAUUCUGUCUAUUCUAGAUGAUGGCAUCAAUAAACAUCAAAUUCGUAAAUAAUAGAGGGAACAAUAAAUUAAAUUUAGACUACAAGGUUCAAAUACAGGGAAAACAUGGCUUAAUUCCUAGGAACAAUAUAUCGAACCCACCACAAUGUUCCAUCGAAUGGUAUACAAUUCAAAUCGACAACUUUUACAAAUGCAUUUACUAAACUUAAAGCAAAAUCUAAAACUAUAAUCAAAUCGACUCAAAUGAAAAUCUGUGAAAAAGAUUUAAUUCAUGGAAAAGAUAAAUCAAUAAGACAUGAAGAGGCUCCCACAAAUUUACCAACUACGAGACUGCAACUACGAUGAUCUAAAGAAAAUAAAUAGAGCAAAGGUAAAAGAUAAAGAUACCAGGAAACAAUAUGCCAAUUUGAAUAAGAUCAUUUAAACCCAGUGAAGUGAUAGGGAUCAGUCCCGAACUAGUUCAAAACUUUUUAAUCAAAUUGACGGCCUUGAAUCAAUCCUUCCCCUCCUCCUCAUUAAGUAAUGUAAAAGCACAAAACACAGGAUAUUGGAGGUCAGCAAGAUUGGUAUUAUGACUUCUUGGUAUACUCACAGGUCCCUUUCAAUAUCAUGAAUCAAAGAGACCUUGCAAGUUGCAGUUAAAUCAUACAAACAAUUACUAAAAAUAGAAAACUCAAAAAUAAAACAAACUCCCAAAGUUCCCAGUUUUAAUCCCAAAGAAAACCCCAAACUACUGAAGGCCGCGAUAAUAAAAAAACAACCUUCAAAAUUUCUAAUAUUCAAAAUAACAAGCUUAAAAGGAGCAUGCAACUAUUCUCCAAAACACGGUCCUACAAAACUUCAAGAGUUUUAGACCCUGAAAUCAAUAUUUGAAAUAAAAAAAACACGAACCAAGAUCAAGAGAGAAUCUAUAUGCUACAAUGAUUUUUGACAUCAAAGACAUCAAAUGAGACCAAAUCCAUUCUCAUGUUUAACAUUCUUCAACAAGCCAUUACAUUUUCGAAGGCUUGAAACAAAAAGCACCGGCUUGAAAUAAACUCAAAAGGAAAACAGAAAAUCAAACUUCAAAAUUUCACAAAUAAAGGAGCACAACCAACAGGCUAAAAAGGGGGAGCCGAUGGGGCAUAUUAUUUCUAUCCUCCUCCUCUUUCUGGCGGACUCAAGAAAUAUAUUUUUUAAUAGUUAGGAAAAUCCUCAAGGAAUCAUGGGAAUUUUGGUUUACUAUUGGCAUAUCCUCAUCAUCCUUUUGGCAUUUAAGGAGCCAAAGAACUUAAGAGGAAAUCCUAUUAACGAUGCUACCAACUUAAUAAUUACGACAACAUCAAACAGUAACAACGAAGGAGAUGACAUAUUAUUCUAAUCCUACUCCUCAUUUCGACAGACUUAAAAGAAAUAGUUGUCGAAGAAUCCUAGGAUUUUUUGUUACAUUUUUGGACUUUUCCUCAUUGUUCUUUUAGCAUUUGAGAUGCCAAAGGAUCUCGAGAGGUAUUCUUACAAAUGAAACUAUCAACUAGAUAGCAACAACAAAUUAAACAAGAUGACAUCAAGGUAAAAAAUAAAGCAAAGGUUACAACAUAAACUUUUACCUAUAAGCCAGCGGUUCAAACCACAAGCAAUACACAAGAUGAAGAAUUAGGUUGAAAAUUAAUCAACUAAGUCAAAAGUAAAUGACAUAUUAAGAAGCCAAAAUAAAGAUAACAAAAACCACAGAUUAGACAGCUAAGACAAGAAUUAGCCUAUCUUAACAGUACAACCAACAUUAUCUUCACCAAAAGAAAAAACCUACGGCCUUUCAGGCCUCUACAACAGACAUCCCCAACACACAAGAUUAUCAAAACAUUACUAUAACUAUAGAAAGGCGAGAUGAAGCAAAAAUAAUCAGAACUAAAUGGAAUAGAAUGCUACCUAUUUCGAAGCAGCAAAAUAAAACCUCAAGCUUCAUUGGAGUUUACCCCCACCAGAAGGUGUCGAUGCCGUUGCAAAAAUUUUGAAUAGCCGACUGCUUUUCCUAAAACUUUUUACUUAAAAAAACCUUGUGUUCUCGAAAUAGGGUUUUCACCCUCUAGUCCCCUUUUUUUUAGCUCAACAAGGAGCUUUUAUAGAAGAAAA